AUAUCAAUAAGCGGAGGAAAAGAAACUAACGAGGAUUCCCCUAGUAACUGCGAGUGAAGCGGGAAAAGCUCAAAUUUAAAAUCUGGCGGUCUUUUGGCCGCCCGAGUUGUAGUCUGGAGAAGCGUCUUCUACGCCGGACCGUGUACAAGUCCCUUGGAACGGGGCGUCAUAGAGGGUGAGAAUCCCGUCCAUGACACGGAUCGCCGGCGGUUUGUGAUGCGCUCUCGAAGAGUCGAGUUGUUUGGGAACGCAGCUCAAAACGGGUGGUAAAUUCCAUCUAAAGCUAAACACUGGCGAGAGACCGAUAGCGAACAAGUACCGUGAGGGAAAGAUGAAAAGCACUUUGGAAAGAGAGUUAAACAGUACGUGAAAUUGCUGAAAGGGAAACGCUUGAAGUCAGUCGCGUCGGCCGGGGCUCAGCCUUGCAUUCGUUUGCUCGGUUUACUUCCCGGUUCGACGGGCCAGCGUCGAUUUCGACCGUCGGAAAAGGGCGAGGGGAAAGUGGCACCUUCGGGUGUGUUAUAGCCUUUGGUCGGAUUGCGGCGGUUGGGAUCGAGGAAAAAAGGCAGCACGCCCUUGUGGCCGGGGCAUUCGUGCCCACGUAUCGUGCUUAGGAUGCUGGCGUAAUGGCUUUAAACGACCCGUCUUGAAACACGGACCAAGGAGUCUAACGUGCCUG
rnacentral:rRNA from 2 species